rnacentral:rRNA from 1 species
CCUACGGGUGGCAGCAGUGGGGAAUAUUGCACAAUGGGCGCAAGCCUGAUGCAGCCAUGCCGCGUGUGUGAAGAAGGCCUUCGGGUUGUAAAGCACUUUCAGCGGGGAGGAAGGCGUUAAGGUUAAUAACCUUGGCGAUUGACGUUACCCGCAGAAGAAGCACCGGCUAACCCCGUGCCAGCAGCCGCGGUAAUACGGAGGGUGCAAGCGUUAAUCGGAAUUACUGGGCGUAAAGCGCACGCAGGCGGUCUGUCAAGUCGGAUGUGGAAUCCCCGGGCUCAACCUGGGAACUGCAUUCGAAACUGGCAGGCUAGAGUCUUGUAGAGGGGGGUAGAAUUCCAGGUGUAGCGGUGAAAUGCGUAGAGAUCUGGAGGAAUACCGGUGGCGAAGGCGGCCCCCUGGACAAAGACUGACGCUCAGGUGCGAAAGCGUGGGGAGCAAACAGGAUUAGAUACCCUAGUAGUC